UACGUAGGGGCAAGCGUUGUCCGGAAUCAUUGGGCGUAAAGAGCGCGUAGGCGGCCCAGUAAGUCCGCUCUGAAAGUCAGGGGCUCAACCCCUGAAUGCGGGUGGAUACUGCUGGGCUAGAGUCCGGAAGAGGCGAGUGGAAUUCCUGGUGUAGCGGUGAAAUGCGCAGAUAUCAGGAGGAACACCGAUGGCGAAGGCAGCUCGCUGGGACGGUACUGACGCUGAGGCGCGAAAGCGUGGGAGCAAACAGG
rnacentral:rRNA from 1 species